CUAAGAUCUUAGAGUCAGGGAAUAUAUCAAAGCUGUUUAAAGCUUGAUCUUCAAGGAUGACCAAUACUAUGCCAGGCAGAUGACUCUAGAAGGUGAUUUGGUAAUGUAAGUAUAAAAAAGCAUGGCAUAUUUAGGGAGUGGUGAAUUGUUCUUUGAGCUGGAGUUUUGGGAUACUUGGAAGAAGUGGCAGAAAGAUGAAGCUGAAUGUAUGGGAGGGCCAGAUCCUGAAUGACCUUGUAUUUCAUAGCAAAGAACUGAGAUCCUAUUAGAGUUGAGCUUUGCUAUAGAUAUUUAAGAUGGAGAUAAUAGUUAAGAGUAGUGUAGCAAAAUGAGCUCCCUUAUACCUCUGCUUAGGAUGGAUAGAUUAAAACUAGAGUCAGGGAAGUCAGCCAGAAGGCUGUUAGGAUAGCAGAUGAGGAGGCUGGAACAAGGGUCAUGGCGGUUGACUUAACUUGAGUAGAGGGUGAAGGAGGAAGUGUUGGGUGACUGGAUAUUACUUUGAUGCUAUUAAUACAUGGAAUACAAGGAGAGCUAAUUUGGGAAAGUUAAUUUUUUUUUAAAUUAUUGUGGUAUUGAAGAUUGAAACCCAGUGGUACUCUACCUCUGAACCAUAUCCCCUGCCCUUUUUAUUUUUUAUUUUGAAACAGGGUCUCAUUAAGUUGCCCUGCCUUAGUCUCCUUAGUCACUGGAACUACAGGCAUGUGCCAAUGUACCUAACAGUUUUUGAAAUACUUAUGGGUGACAUCCAGAGAAAUAUCUGUUACUUGUAGGGAGAUAUGAGUUUUGGGUCUUCCGAGAGGCGGAAUCAUGACAUCUAAAUGAUAGUGGAAAUCAUAGAAGUAGAUCACCUGAGUAAAAUGGGGAAAGGAAUGGGUUUGAGAAUAGAGCCCAAGGAACUGUCAAUUACAUGUAGUGUUAUGUAAAGUUAGGGAGCCUAAUGAGGAGCGAUCAGAGAAGUAGUUCUGAGAAAGUAUUAUCUGGGAAGCCAAGAAUGAGAGAGCUUCUAUAAGAGGGCAGUAGUGGCUAUUGCAGAGAGAACAAGUAGGGUAAGCCCUGAAAUGAGGCUACUGAGUCAUUGGUGACCUUGGUGAUAACAGUUUCAGUGGAAGGGUGGGGACGGAAGCUAGACUACUGUGGCUUAGGGAGUGAGCAUGAGGUGAGGGUGUAGAGGCAACAAAAGACUUCUUGUUUGAGAAAUAUAGUGGUAAGGGAAAGAAGGAAAGAGGUUUGUAUUUUGAAGAAGAGACAGGAGGGGCAGGUUCACAGAUUUUAUUUUUCAAGUUGGCAAAGUGGAGUGGAGAUUUGAAUAGAUAAACAUUGAAUGGAGGAAAGAUUGAAAAAAUGUGGCCAGGGUGUAAAAAAAAAAAGAAAAGAAAAAUGUAGCCAGGGUGAGAUGCAAGGAGGGAGAGGAGAAAUCCUGGGGAUUGAAAUUGGGUAAAUUAUAUUGUUAUAUUGUGCACGUGUACGAAUAUGUAACAACAAAUCCCAUCAUUAUAUACAACUACAUUGCAUCAAAAAGUGUGGAAAGAGAAAGAAAAAAAAAAAGAAGUAACCAGUGAAGGUGCC
rnacentral:lncRNA from 1 species